CGUGAGUAACCUGCCCUCCACUCUGGGAUAACUCCGGGAAACCGGUGCUAAUACUGGAUAUGACCUGAACAGGCAUCUGUAUCGGGUGGAAAGAUUCAUUGGUGGAGGAUGGACUCGCGGCCUAUCAGCUUGUUGGUGAGGUAAUGGCUCACCAAGGCGACGACGGGUAGCCGGCCUGAGAGGGCGAUCGGCCACACUGGGACUGAGACACGGCCCAG
rnacentral:rRNA from 1 species